GGAGAGGUGCCGGAGUGGUAACGGAGCAGAUUGCUAAUCUGUCGACCUUUACGGGUCGCCAGGGUUCGAGUCCCUGUCUCUCCG
rnacentral:tRNA from 1 species